UACGAAGGUGGCAAGCGUUGUUCGGAUUUACUGGGCGUAAAGGGCGCGUAGGCGGCCUCUGCAAGUCGACUGUGAAAUCUCCGGGCUUAACCCGGAACGGUCAGCCGAUACUGCAGGGCUAGAGUGCAGAAGGGGCAACCGGAAUUCUCGGUGUAGCGGUGAAAUGUGUAGAGAUCGGGAGGAACACCGGUGGCGAAGGCGGCUACCUGGCCCACUCUUGACGCUGAGGCGCGAAAGCUAGGGGAGCAAACGGGG
rnacentral:rRNA from 1 species